UGUGUCCCCAUUCCAGACCACGAUAUUUCUUGUCCGUUUUUCAUUGACCAGGGUGGUCUAGAAUUCUUUAAACCGUGAUGGAUGAUUCUAUUGGUUUCACUGAUCGAAGAAAUUAGCUGAUCCGGGAGGGAGGUGUUGAUUUUGUGCUAUCCUACCAAGUUUCACAGAAAAUUAUGUAAAGAACUCUGACUUGCCCAUUUGCAGUUUACUGUAG